UGUUUAAUACGUGCCCUUUGUAGUUUGCAGGAAGAUCUCCACCCUCCUCCAACAAGAAGUACACUGCCAUCCCUCCUAAAUCCAGGACUCGCAUCAAAAACAGACUGAUGGGAUGCUGUUGUGACAAGAGGAGAGGACAGGAUUGCCCACUGGAUGAGGAGUUGUGGAGCAGUACUCAAGGAAAUCCCAUCGAUCAGACCGAUUCAGCAGAGGUAUGAUUGGCAUCACAUUCAG
rnacentral:lncRNA from 1 species